UCGACCCGCGUCACCGAGGAUAUUAUUGCAUGGGCACCGGAGAGGAACGGUAUCUUCACCGUUCGGUCCGCCUACCGCCUGGCCAUGGACGAGCGCGAGCGUCCUUCGGCUUCCGCCACGAGCAGGGCACCGGAUGGUCGUCGCGCCAUCUGGAAGAUCAUAUGGGGGUGCCCUGCUCCCCCUAAGGUGUCCCCUGGCAAGAGAGCUCUGGCGAGUUAUGGCCUUGGACUGGAACAUCCCCAAGGUGGAGGCCAUCGUCAACACUGGCCCAGAGUG